AGAGUUUGAUCAUGGCUCAAGAUGAACGCUAGCGGCAGGCUUAACACAUGCAAGUCGAGGGGCAACAGGGGCAGCAAUGCUUGCUGGCGACCGGCGCACGGGUGAGUAACGCGUAUGCAACCUACCCAUAACAGGGGGAUAGCUCCCGGAAACGGAAAUUAACACCCCAUAGUAUUCUAAUGCCGCAUGGUAUAGGGAUUAAAACUACGGUGGUUAUGGAUGGGCAUGCGUGCCAUUAGCUAGUUGGCGGGGUAACGGCCCACCAAGGCUACGAUGGCUAGGGGGUCUAAAAGGAUGAUCCCCCACACUGGUACUGAGACACGGACCAGACUCCUACGGGAGGCAGCAGUGAGGAAUAUUGGUCAAUGGGCGGGAGCCUGAACCAGCCAUGCCGCGUGCAGGAAGACGGCCCUAUGGGUUGUAAACUGCUUUUUUAUGGGAAGAAAACGCCCUACGUGUAGGGCACUGACGGUACCAUAUGAAUAAGCAUCGGCUAACUCCGUGCCAGCAGCCGCGGUAAUACGGAGGAUGCGAGCGUUAUCCGGAUUUAUUAGGUUUAAAGGGUGUGUAGGCGGGCGAUUAAGUCAGUGGUGAAAUCUCACAGCUCAACUGUGAAACUGCCAUUGAUACUGGUUGCCUUGAGUACAGUUGAAGUAGGCGGAAUGUGUAAUGUAGCGGUGAAAUGCUUAGAUAUUACACAGAGCACCGAU
rnacentral:rRNA from 1 species